CGCAGAGGUUAUCGUUUCGUGCCCUGAUAGAUGAGCACUAUUUGCCUUGAGAAAACAGAGGUGGAAAGGGUUGCCAUAUAGUCAGAUUUUCUGUGCCUGAGUGUGUGCAUAGAUAUUAGCUAGCAAAUAAACCCUGUGUGAUAUCAAUGACCUUUAUGCAGUGGCAAAGAAAGAAAAAAAAACGAAAGAAAAAGAAAUCAAAAAUCAAACUGCACAAAUCUCAUCUUCCAUAGAAGCAGCUUUGAAAUGUUAUAUAACUGAACAUACUGUAGGUUAUGGCUGUAAUCUGGAUAUUAGCAAGCUACUGAUCAGUUAUUAUCAAAGGAAAAAAAGUUGAAACAGGCCAAAUAAAUUAUAUAGAAACAACUACUUUGGUAGAUGAGUAUUUAUAAAAGCUAUCUAUCUAUCUAUCUAUCUAUCUAUCUAUCUAUCUAUCUAUCUAUCUAUCUAGUGUGUUUACUAUUAAAAUUACCAUUCGCCAAGACAACUAUCUAGUAAGCUUGUUAUUAAGGCUACUAUUUACAAAUUUGGCUAUCUGGGACGCUUACAAUUAACGGUACUAUUUAGAAAAGCUGCAAUGUGACAAACAACAACAGUGAUCCAAAACGUAUUUUAAAAAUCAACACAGAAAUGGUUUACUGGCCACAAAAUCAAGGUCCUGAUAUGACCAUCCCAGUCCCCUGACCUGAACCCAUAGAAACCCUGUGGGGUGAACUGAAGAGGAGAGUCCACCAAUAUGGACCUGGAAAUGUGAAGGAUCUGGAGAGGUUCUGUAUGGAGGAACGCUCUCAGAUCCCUCGCCAUGUAUUCUCCAACCUCAUCAGGCGUUAUAGGAGAAGACUCAGAGCUGUUAUCUUGGUAAAGUGAGCUAGCACAAAGUAUUGACUAAAAAGGUGCCAAUAAUUGUUGCACAUCUAUAUUUAACGAAGAUAUAUUUUUAUAAUCCUGUGUUGUGUAUGCAAUUGUAAGAUAUAUAUAUAUAUAUAUACGAGAGCAGAGUAUUUUUGUGAAUUUUUUUUAAACAAAAAAAUCAUAAGGUUAAACAAUAAAGAGUUUCUUUUUUUCACAGCCUUCUUUGCUCAUAAUUACCAAGGGUGCCAAUAUUAGUGGAGGGCCCUGUAACGAUCUAGUAAGUUUACUAAUAAGCUCACUAGUCACAAGUUAAUAUUCACAAAACAACGGUUACUUUUAAGACUACAAAACUUGCAAAGCUAACUAUAUAGUAAGGUUAAAAUGAGGGUUACUAUUAAGGUUACUAUUUAGAAAAGCUAACUAUCUAGCUGGGCUACCGUUAAAGAUAGUAUUUACAAAACCAGCCAUCUAUUAAGGUUACUAUUUAAUUUACUAAUUACAAAGCCAACUAUCUAUUCAAGUCAAAUAAGGGGUAUUAUUAAUAUUACUAUAUACGAAGCAGGUUAUCAAAAAGUAAGUUUACAAUUAAGGGUAUUAUUCAGAAAAGCUAAGUAUCUAGUAAGUUUACUAAAAAGAUUACUAUUAAAAUGACUAUUUGCAAAACGAAUGAUAUAUUAACGGUUACUUUUAAGGUUACUAGUCAUAAAAGCUAACUAUACAGUACAUUUAUAAAGUCAUAUAUAGGUUAUAAUUAAGGUUACUAUUUACAAAACGAACCAUCUAUUAAGGUUACGAUUAGAGUUACUAUUAGCCAAGCUAACAGCAUAUUAGUGGUUUACUUGUAAGGUUACUAUUUACAAAGCUAACUAUAUAGUAAGAUUAAAAUUAAGGUUACUAUUAAAGUUCUAUUUAGGAAAGUUAACUGUCUAGCUGAGUUACUAUAAGGGAUACUACUUACAAAAAUAACUAUCUAGUAAGGUUACAAUUACAGUUACUAUUUACAAAGCGAACUAUCUAGUAAGGUUACUAUUACAGUUACUAUAUACAAAGCGAACUAUCUGGUAAAUUUAGAAUGAAGGUUACUAUUUAUUAAAGCUAAGUAUCUAGUCAUUUUACUAGUACGGUUACUAUUAAAGUUACUAUUUAGGAACGUUAACUGUCUAGCAGGGUUACGAUAAGGGAUACUACUUACAAAACUAACUAUCUAUUAAAGUUACCAUUUACAAAGUUAAUGAUUUAGUAAGGUUGCUAUUUACAAAUCCAGUAAAACUGUUAUUAUUAUCCUAGCUAACUAGUUUCUGUGAGUCCUGAAGUGGCUUUCUGAACGUACGGUUAGCAUUAGAGCUGAUCUACAGGAUAGAUUACAGGCAAACGUUAUCACUAACUAUGAUAGUCUAGACAGGUUUAGACAGUAAAUAAACAUCUUUACACACACACACACACACACACACACACACACACAGAGCGAAGCAAUAUUCCAUACUAGCCUGUGACAGAGAAUUCAGACAGAUCAUGUUUAAUGCUUUACACUCCUCAAGACAGCAAAGUAUCACGGAGUAGCCUUCAACCUCACAACUUUUUCAUCCAUGUUCGCUGUUGUCCCCCCCCCCCCCCCCAAGUAAAUCAUUUACGGAUUAAAAAGAAAGAAAGAAAGAAAGAAAAAGAUAAAAGAUGCAAACUAAUGAGCACAAACCACAGUUGUCUGGCCGUGUUGGCAGGCAAAUGAAAACAGGAUGCUGUAAGCUUUAAGAAUCCUCUUGUCUUUUGUUUGCUUUGUUAAGCCUCAUUGUAAGUUCAAACAUGGCCACACACACACACACACACACACACACACACACACACACACCACGCAUUUAAGACCCAAGCUAUAUAUGAUCUUGCUUUCAUUAGAACUGUUCCUACAUGGGGAUGUCCUCAUGAGGAAAUAUGGUACAGUAUAUGUAAGGGGAAAAAAAAGCACAUGAGGGCAUGCUGUUAUAGGAAAACCAUCAACGGUGAGUGACGUGAUGCGGCCCAGCACUACAUACCGGAUUGUUUCACUAUAACUGUAUGCCCUCGAGCGUUUAAUAAUUCCAUUAUAUGACAUAUCGACUUGCCAACGAUAUUUAAAGGACGACACGGUGCACUUUUUAUCCAUUUAGAGUUGCUAUUAAUGUUUAACGUGAAGCAGACGACUUCCUGUUACGACUUACUUUAUGGCUUCCUCACCGCUCGCCAGCCUUAAGUCAAUAAGAUAAAAAAAAAAACAGGCAUCUUGUCAUCUUAUCAACUCCUGCUGUGUCAUGGAAAUCUGACCGUUACGGAGAACUGACACUGGAGACUCCUUCCUUUCCUUAAACGCUAAAUACAAACGAUUUUUCCUUGCAGGAAACGUCGCCGUAGUUACGAUUACCGUACGUGAGGGUGUUUUUCUGUUAUUAUUAGCCUCGUGAUGAGAUUAUGUGGAACGAGUGGUUCUGAAUGUGCGGUUACUAUAGAAACAAUAACGUAUUAGAACAAAGAGCCAUAAUUAGGCCUGGCUUUGGGACUGGAUUGCAUUAUGGGAUUUGUCUUUACAAGAAGGACGCCUUCAUCUGUCCAUAAUAAGGAUCUGUAGAUGUUCAUUAAAAAGAACUAUAUAU
ensembl:lncRNA